rnacentral:rRNA from 1 species
AAUGGGGGAAACCCUGAUGCAGCGAUGCCGCGUGAGUGAAGAAGGCCCUUGGGUUGUAAAACUCUUUCGUCGGGGAAGAAAAUGACUGUACCCGAAUAAGAAGGUCCGGCUAACUUCGUGCCAGCAGCCGCGGUAAUACGAAGGGACCUAGCGUAGUUCGGAAUUACUGGGCUUAAAGAGCUCGUAGGUGGUUAAAAAAGUUGAUGGUGAAAUCCCAAGGCUCAACCUCGGAACUGCCAUCAAAACUUUUUAGCUAGAGUGUGAUAGAGGUAAGUGGAAUUUCUAGUGUAGAGGUGAAAUUCGUAGAUAUUAGAAAGAACACCAAAUGCGAAGGCAACUUACUGGGUCACUACUGACACUGAGGAGCGAAAGCAUGGGUAGCGAAGAGGAUU